GCGGGGCCCACGUGUGCAGGGUGAGCUCUUGCACACACUGGACCCAAAACCUGCCACGAGGAAAGCCUUCCACCCUCCUCCUGCACCAGUGAAACCCACUCUGACAAAUAAAUCAAAUUCAGAUGAGUUCCCAGAGCCUCGUACGUGAUGGAACCAAGGUCACUACCCAUGAAUCCACCAGGUACCCCCCUGCUUGAUGAAGUGAAGCACAAGCGUUGCAAACCACCAGAGCUUGUGUUUGCAGCUCAACAAGACCAACGUGGCCCGACUCUGGGACUAAAACUCAUUAUCAGCAAUGUUUCACCACUUCCUUGAGCCACUGAAAGACAAUCAUUGAGUGAAUCAUCAUGCGCUGUGGCUGCAGGCUGGAGUUGGGCAGAGAAAAGGUCAGAGCAGCUCUAUCAUGGAAAAAUAUACAUCUACUUUCCGCUACAAAUUAUCAUAAUCUACUGGCAUGCCAGCUGAAACAAUGGCAGCUCUCUAAUAAAACCUUUCUCUUCCCACCGGAGUUGUGGAGGUCCAACCUGAGCAUCUUCCCACAAAUUGCACUUCAGUAAAUGUGCUCAUGACAUUUGGACAUCACCAAAACACAG